CGAUACAUAGGGGGACUGAGAGGUUAACCCCCCACACUGGUACUGAGACACGGACCAGACUCCUACGGGAGGCAGCAGUGAGGAAUAUUGGUCAAUGGACGCAAGUCUGAACCAGCCAUGCCGCGUGCAGGAUGACGGCUCUAUGAGUUGUAAACUGCUUUUGUACGAGGGUAAACGCAGAUACGUGUAUCUGUCUGAAAGUAUCGUACGAAUAAGGAUCGGCUAACUCCGUGCCAGCAGCCGCGGUAAUACGGAGGAUUCAAGCGUUAUCCGGAUUUAUUGGGUUUAAAGGGUGCGUAGGCGGUUUGAUAAGUUAGAGGUGAAAUUUCGGGGCUCAACCCUGAACGUGCCUCUAAUACUGUUGAGCUAGAGAGUAGUUGCGGUAGGCGGAAUGUAUGGUGUAGCGGUGAAAUGCUUAGAGAUCAUACAGAACACCGAUUGCGAAGGCAGCUUACCAAACUAUAUCUGACGUUGAGGCACGAAAGCGUGGGGAGCAAACAGGAUUAGAUACCCUGGUAGUCCACGCAGUAAACGAUGAUAACUCGUUGUCGGCGAUACACAGUCGGUGACUAAGCGAAAGCGAUAAGUUAUCCACCUGGGGAGUACGUUCGCAAGAAUGAAACUCAAAGGAAUUGACGGGGGCCCGCACAAGCGGAGGAACAUGUGGUUUAAUUCGAUGAUACGCGAGGAACCUUACCCGGGCUUGAAAGUUAGCGACGAUUCUUGAAAGAGGAUUUCCCUUCGGGGCGCGAAACUAGGUGCUGCAUGGUUGUCGUCAGCUCGUGCCGUGAGGUGUCGGGUUAAGUCCCAUAACGAGCGCAACCCCUACCGUUAGUUGCCAUCAGGUGAAGCUGGGCACUCUGGCGGGACUGCCGGUGUAAGCCGAGAGGAAGGUGGGGAUGACGUCAAAUCAGCACGGCCCUUACGUCCGGGGCUACACACGUGUUACAAUGGUAGGUACAGAGGGCAGCUACCCAGCGAUGGGAUGCGAAUCUCGAAAGCCUAUCUCAGUUCGGAUUGGAGGCUGAAACCCGCCUCCAUGAAGUUGGAUUCGCUAGUAAUCGCGCAUCAGCCAUGGCGCGGUGAAUACGUUCCCGGGCCUUGUACACACCGCCCGUCAAGCCAUGGGAGCCGGGGGUGCCUGAAGUUCGUGACCGCAAGGAGCGACCUAGGGCAAAACUGGUGACUGGGGCUAAGUCGUAACAAGGUAGCCGUACCGGAAGGUGCGGCUG
rnacentral:rRNA from 1 species